rnacentral:ncRNA from 1 species
AAACGCCGUAUGCGGAUCCGCACGUACGGUGUUGUGAGAGGGCUGAGCUAAAUACUCGCCCUACUCGAU